rnacentral:rRNA from 1 species
UACAGAGGGGGCGAGCGUUGUUCGGAAUUACUGGGCGUAAAGGGCGCGUAGGCGGCCUUCUAAGUCGGAUGUGAAAUCCCCAGGCUUAACCUGGGAACUGCAUCCGAUACUGGAUGGCUUGAAUCCGGGAGAGGGAUGCAGAAUUCCAGGUGUAGCGGUGAAAUGCGUAGAUAUCUGGAGGAAUACCGGUGGCGAAGGCGGCAUCCUGGACCGGCAUUGACGCUGAUGAGCGAAAGCUAGGGGAGCAAACGGG